UGCUUUCAGUCUCUUUCUGCCAACUUUUGUAUCAUCGCCGGGCAGAUUAUAGUAAAGUUUGUGCCCCUUUUCAGCCUAAGCGGGAUCAGCCUGGAGUGGCCUGUCGCCGUGGAAACUGCCAGAACAAUUCGGUUGAAGUCUGAAGAGGUCAGCUUGCAGGGUCAACAACCCCAGCUCUGCCUGUGCCAACUUCUGUUCAGCCUGGGACUUUUUGGGGGAGCGCUGGCUCAACCUAACCCUGGGUGUAUUUUUUUCUACUCAAGCAUGGCGGUGAUAAUUGGAUUGUGUGGACACCUGUAUGAGUGCAGUAUAUCCAGGGGAUUAGAGAACGGGAUGGAAUUGGCGAGCACAUCGUCCCGCAGCAGUGGCUCUUUAAAAUGGGUUCCAGUGCCAUUUGAACGGCGGCUAAGAAGCGAUUUAUGCAUCUUUCAUUGGACUGAUGACUGGGCAUAUUCUUACUGAGGACAACAUGAACAGUGCAGACUUCAUCAGCGGCCACACAAGAUGACUGUCUGCUGCUGACUGACCAAUUGUUCAUGCUAUGAAAACUGUAAAGAUGGAGGCAAAUCACUCAUUAGGUGUUUGGGAACAGUAACGCUUUUGCCUCUGACAGUAAUGAACGUCUCCUUUAGGUUCUGAUACUCGACACGAAAGGUUUUGAUUGUUUUGUCAAAUGAAAAUAAACAUUUUCGAUAAAUACUAUUACGCUAUUGCUCCCUCCGUAUUAUCAUUGAUUGUGUUUACGUUCACGUUCUUCAUCAGAUUGUAAUGCAUAAGCUGAUAAUACGCAUGGUCGGAGUGCAUCGGGAAUGUUUUGAGAACAUUCAUUAAGCUUUAUUCAUUCAUUAAGCAGUCAUUUGCUUAACCGUUGUGUAAAUGUUAUCAUGCAAUGUUAUGAAAAUAACACUUAUGAAGCAUUCUUGUUUGUAAAUGGUGUCAUGCAUCGUUAUUAAAAACAUUUCUGGAACGUUUUUGCAAUGAUUUUAGAACAUUUAGUAACACUCCUUAAACGUUGUGUGAAUGUUAUCAUGCAAUGUUGUUAAAAUAACCUUUCUGAAACAUUUUUGUAACGUUUUGAAAACAUUAGGUAACUCCUUAAAUGCUGUGUGAAUGUUAUCAUGCAAUGUUAAUAAAAACAUUUCUGGAACAUUCUUAUUUUGUUUUCAGAACAUUCAGUAACGCUCCUUAAAUGUUGUAUGAAUGUUAUCAUGCAACGUUAUUAAAAUAUUUUAUGAACAUACGUAUAAUGUUUUGAGAACAUUCAGUAACGCUCCUUAAAUGUUGUGUAAAUGUUAUCACAGAAUGACACUGCUCUCUUAAUGUUCUGUAAAUGCUAUCAUGCAAUGUUAUUAAAAACAAAAUUCUGGAAUGAUCUUGUAAUGAUUUCAGAACAUUCAGUAACGCUUCUUAAAUGUUGUGUAAAUGUCGUCAUGUUAUUAAAAUACGUUUUUUAAAACAGUCUUGUAAUGUUUUAAGAACAUUUAGUAACUCAUUAAAUAAUGCGUACAUUUUAUCACGCAGCGUUAUUAAAAAUAACAUUUCUGGAACAUUUUUGUAAUGUUUUGAAAACAUUCUGUAUCUCUUGAUAAAUACUGUGCAAAUGUUAUCACGCAAUGUUAUUAAUAUAAUAUUUCUAGAACAUUCUUGUAACAUUUUGAGAACAUUCAGCAAUUCUUAAUAAAUAAUGUGUAAAUUUUAUCAUGUAACGUUAUUAAAAUAACAUUUCUGGAACAUUCUUGUACCAUUGAGAACGUUUGAAAACAUUUCUUAAAUGUUGUGUAAAUGUUAUCAUGCAACGUUAUUAAAAUAACCUUUCUGGAACAUUCUUGUAACAUUAUGAGAACGUUUGAAAACACUUCUUAAAUGUUGUGUAAAUGUUAUCAUGCAACUUUGUUAAAGCAUUUCUGGAACAUUUUUUAAAUGUUUUGAGAACAUUCAGUAACGCUCCUCAAAUAUGUGAAUGUUUUCAUGCAACGCUAUUAAUAUAUUAUUUUUGUAACAUUCUUGUAAUGUUCGACAAUGCUCCUUAAACAUUGUGUAAAUGUUAUCAUGCAACGUUAUUAAAAUAACAUUUCUGGAAAAUUCUUCUAAUGUUUCCUGAACGUUCAGUAAUGCUGUGUAAAUGUUACCUUGCAAUGGUAGCGCUCCCUAAACGUUGUGUAAAUGUUACCAUGCAAUGGUAAUGCUUCUCAUUCAUUCAUUCAUUCAUUUUCUUUUCGGCUCAGUCACCACAGCGGAAUGAACCACCAACUUAUCGAGCAUAUAUUUUACGCUGGGAAUGCCCUUCCAGCUGCAAUCCAUCACUGGGAAACACCUAAGCGCAAUCAUUUACACUCAUACACUACAGACUGUGGAUGAAACUGGAUCACCUGGAGGAAACCCACGUCAAGACAGGGAGAACAUGCAAACACCACACAGAAAUGCCAACUGACCCUGCUGGGACUCGAACUAGCAACCUUCUUGCAGUGAGACGAUUGUGCUACCCAUUGUGCCACCGUGCUGCCUCGGUAACGCUUCUUAAACGUUGUGCAAAUGUUAUCAUGCGAUGUAUUUAAAAUAACAUUUCUGGAACAUUCUUGGGAAUUUUUGACAACAAUCGAAAACGCUUAUUAAAUGUUGUGUAAAUGUUAUCACGCAACGUUAUUAAAAUACAAUUUCCCAAACAUUCUCGUAACAUUUUGAGAACGUUUGAAAACCCUUCUUAAAUGUUGUGUAAUUGUGCCCCACUAUGUUAUUAAAAUAAUGUUCCUGGAACAUUCUUGUAAUGUUUUGAGAACAUUUGGUAAUGCUUCUUAAAUGUUGUGUAAAUGUUAUCAUGCAACAUUAAUAAAACAUUUCUGGAACAUUGUUGUAAUGUUUUGAGAACAUUCAGUGAUGCUCCUUAAAUGUUAUGUAAAUGUUAUCAUGGAACGUUAUUAAAAUAACAUUUCUGAAACAUUAGUGCAAUGUUUUAAGAACAUUCGGUAACGCCCCUUAAAUGUUAUGUAAAUGUUUUCAUGCAACAUUUCUAACGUAAUACAAAAAAAA
rnacentral:lncRNA from 1 species